rnacentral:rRNA from 1 species
GAUGAACGCUGGCGGUAUGCUUAACACAUGCAAGUCGAACGGAACCUUUAGGGUUCAGUGGCGGACGGGUGAGUAACGCGUGAGAAUCGGCCCUCAGGUUGGGGACAACCAUUGGAAACGAUGGCUAAUACCGAAUAAGCCGAAAGGUGAAAGAUUAAUUGCCUGGGGAUGAGCUCGCGUCUGAUUAGCUAGUUGGUGGGGUAAAGGCCUACCAAGGCACCGAUCAGUAACUGGUCUGAGAGGAUGGCCAGUCACACUGGGACUGAGACACGGCCCAGACUCCUACGGGAGGCAGCAGUGGGGAAUUUUCCGCAAUGGGCGAAAGCCUGACGGAGCAAUACCGCGUGGGGGAGGAAGGCUCUUGGGUCGUAAACCUCUUUUCUCAGGGAAGAACUCAAUGACGGUACCUGAGGAAUAAGCAUCGGCUAACUCCGUGCCAGCAGCCGCGGUAAUACGGAGGAUGCAAGCGUUAUCCGGAAUGAUUGGGCGUAAAGCGUCCGCAGGUGGCAGUGUAAGUCUGCUGUCAAAGGUCAGGGCUUAACCCUGAACAGGCAGUGGAAACUACACAGCUAGAGUGCGGUGGGGGCAGAGGGAAUUCCCAGUGUAGCGGUGAAAUGCGUAGAGAUUGGGAAGAACACCGGUGGCGAAAGCGCUCUGCUAGGCCGUAACUGACACUCAUGGACGAAAGCUAGGGGAGCGAAUGGGAUUAGAUACCCCAGUAGUCCUAGCCGUAAACGAUGGAUACUAGGCGUAGCUCG